rnacentral:rRNA from 1 species
GUAGGUGGCAAGCGUUGUCCGGAAUUAUGGGGCGUAAAGCGCGCGCAGGCGGUUCUUUAAGUCUGAUGUGAAAGCCCACGGCUCAACCGUGGAGGGUCAUUGGAAACUGGAGAACUUGAGUACAGAAGAGGAAAGCGGAAUUCCACGUGUAGCGGUGAAAUGCGUAGAGAUGUGGAGGAACACCAGUGGCGAAGGCGGCUUUCUGGUCUGUAACUGACGCUGAGGCGCGAAAGCGUGGGGAGCAAACAGGAUUAGAUACCCUGGUAGUCCACGCCGUAAACGAUGAGUGCUAAGUGUUAGGGGGGUUUCCGCCCCCCUUAGUGCUGCAGCUAACGCAUUAAGCACUCCGCCUGGGAGUACGGCCGCAAGGCUG